rnacentral:rRNA from 1 species
AUUGAACGCUAGCGGCAUGCUUUACACAUGCAAGUCGAACGGUAACAGGCCGCAAGGUGCUGACGAGUGGCGAACGGGUGAGUAAUGCAUCGGAACGUGCCCAGUCGUGGGGGAUAACGCAGCGAAAGCUGCGCUAAUACCGCAUACGAUCUAUGGAUGAAAGCGGGGGACCGAAAGGCCUCGCGCGGUUGGAGCGGCCGAUGUCAGAUUAGGUAGUUGGUGGGGUAAAGGCCCACCAAGCCAACGAUCUGUAGCUGGUCUGAGAGGACGACCAGCCACACUGGGACUGAGACACGGCCCAGACUCCUACGGGAGGCAGCAGUGGGGAAUUUUGGACAAUGGGCGCAAGCCUGAUCCAGCAAUGCCGCGUGCAGGAAGAAGGCCUUCGGGUUGUAAACUGCUUUUGUACGGAACGAAACGGUCCGGGUUAAUACCCUGGGCUAAUGACGGUACCGUAAGAAUAAGCACCGGCUAACUACGUGCCAGCCGCCGCCGUAACAC